UACGUAGGGUGCAAGCGUUGUCCGAAAUUAUUGGGCGUAAAGAGCUCGUAGGCGGUCUGUCGCGUCUGCUGUGAAAACUCAGGGCUUAACCCUGAGCUUGCAGUGGGUACGGGCAGACUAGAGUGCGGUAGGGGAGACUGGAAUUCCUGGUGUAGCGGUGAAAUGCGCAGAUAUCAGGAGGAACACCGGUGGCGAAGGCGGGUCUCUGGGCCGAUACUGACGCUGAGGAGCGAAAGCGUGGGGAGCAAACAGG
rnacentral:rRNA from 1 species